rnacentral:rRNA from 1 species
AUUGCACAAUGGGCGAAAGCCUGAUGCAGCAACGCCGCGUCAGCGAUGAAGGCCUUCGGGUCGUAAAGCUCUGUCCUCAAGGAAGAUAAUGACGGUACUUGAGGAAGAAGCCCCGGCUAACUACGUUCUAUCAGCCGCGGUAAUACGUAGGGGGCUAGCGUUAUCCGGAAUUACUGGGCGUAAAGGGUGCGUAGGUGGUUUCUUAAGUCAGAGGUGAAAGGCUACGGCUCAACCGUAGUAAGCCUUUGAAACUGGGGAACUUGAGUGCAGGAGAGGAGAGUGGAAUUCCUAGUGGAGCGGUGAAAUGCGUAGAUAUUAGGAGGAACACCAGUUGCGAAGGCGGCUCUCUGGACUGUAACUGACACUGAGGCACGAAAGCGUGGGGAGCAAACA